rnacentral:rRNA from 1 species
UGCCCCAGUAACGGCGAGUGAAGCGGCAAGAGCUCAAAUUUGAAAGCUGGCUCCUUCGGGGUCCGCAUUGUAAUUUGCAGAGGAUGCUUCGGGAGCGGCCCCCAUCUAAGUGCCCUGGAACGGGCCGUCAUAGAGGGUGAGAAUCCCGUAUGGGAUGGGGUGCCCGCGCCCGUGUGAAGCUCCUUCGACGAGUCGAGUUGUUUGGGAAUGCAGCUCUAAAUGGGUGGUAAAUUUCAUCUAAAGCUAAAUAUUGGCCGGAGACCGAUAGCGCACAAGUAGAGUGAUCGAAAGAUGAAAAGCACUUUGAAAAGAGAGUUAAAAAGCACGUGAAAUUGUUGAAAGGGAAGCGUUUGCGACCAGACUCGCCUACGGGGUUCAGCCGGCUUUCGGGCCGGUGUACUUCCCCGUGGGCGGGCCAGCGUCGGUUUGGGCGGCCGGUCAAAGGCCCUCGGAAUGUAACGCCUCUCGGGGCGUC